rnacentral:rRNA from 1 species
GACGAACGCUGGCGGCGUGCUUAACACAUGCAAGUCGAACGGAAAGGCCCUGCUUUUGUGGGGUGCUCGAGUGGCGAACGGGUGAGUAACACGUGAGUAACCUGCCCUUGACUUUGGGAUAACUUCAGGAAACUGGGGCUAAUACCGGAUAGGAGCUCCUGCUGCCUGGUGGGGGGUGGAAAGUUUCGGCGGUUGGGGAUGGACGCGCGGCUUAUCAGCUUGUUGGUGGGGUAGUGGCUUACCAAGGCUUUGACGGGUAGCCGGCCUGAGAGGGUGACCGGCCACAUUGGGACUGAGAUACGGCCCAGACUCCUACGGGAGGCAGCAGUGGGGAAUAUUGCACAAUGGGCGGAAGCCUGAUGCAGCAACGCCGCGUGCGGGAUGACGGCCUUCGGGUUGUAAACCGCUUUCGCCUGUGACGAAGCGUGAGUGACGGUAAUGGGUAAAGAAGCACCGGCUAACUACGUG